AGAAAAUCCGCCGUUGAAGAUAGAAGGACCUCUCGUUGCCUCUUGCUUCUUCUUCAUUUUUUUUUCACAGACCCCCUUUCUUCAAGGGAGAACAACAGUAGUUUCUCUGCUCAUAACCAAAAAUCAAGGACACCCCUACAACGAACGGCGCUCCUGGCUGCUCCAUUCUUCAUCUUCAAAACCAACAAACCCCUUUUUUUUCUUCCAUUUCCAUGAAGGCUCCAAAGAAAUACGCACUCCCUCACUCACUGAUACCACACACUUUCUGAAAUUUAAAAAGAAAGGAGGAAAAGCUUUGAAUUAAAAUUUCGGAUCAGCGAUGCUAAGAACUUAACAAAAAGAGGAUAGAAAACAAGGCUUCAUCCCUGCUUGAAAUUGCUGUCUUCUUCUUUCAUAUUUCUGGGUUUCAAUAAUGUGUGCUUGAAGCUUGUUGUGGCUCGCUGCUGAGUCUGCUAACCUCCACUUCUCGGCCCUUUAUUUGGCAUCUUGUUUUCCUUUCUGAUCGAAUCCAGGUAAAUGCCAAGUUCUCCCUUGUACUCGGAUUUUAUUGAAUGAUUAGAAUUGUUGGUUUACUAACUGGGUGAAUAUUUGUUAUAAAGCAUGAUAUAAUGAGGUGAGAUGUUGGUUCAAAGUGUUGUAGAUAAUAUCAUUUAAUCAAUGCAGUAUACUGUAGUUGGUCAUGUAAGCUUAGGCUAAGUAUAUUGACCACACCUUAUUAAAACUUUGUUAUAACUGAAUUCUACUUGUAUGGUCGCUAAAAGUUCGAUUGUCCAAACCUGGAAUAUUCGAAAGCUCAGAAGAAGUAUGGUGUUGAAUUCAUAAGUCUUAAAUGUGCUUAGCCUUGAAAUUAAGUAUCAAAAGUUGGCAAAGAAUUGAAGCUCAGAUACGUCUGUAAAAGGUCCUCUUUAUUCUUAGCUCAUCUUGUUACAAUAGUUCAAAAAAUAUUGUGAACGGAUCCCCUCUCUCUGUGGCAUGCUUUCACAUGUAAUUCUAUUUUGUUUAGCAAUUGUUAUGGUGUCAUUGUAUCAUUGAUGUUGAUUUGUUAAAAAAGAGAUUGAUCAGAUUUUGUUAGGCUGGCCAUUAAAGCAAUCUUUUGUACAUUUGCUAAUUGUUUCUCUCGAUCAUGAAGUUCGUCGGUUCCUUUACCAUUUCUUAAAUGCUUUGAAAAUUAAAUGUCUCCUUGUUAAUAGAUCUGGGUGUCAAGGAUAAUUGAUGAAAUCUCGGCCUACAACGAUCUCAAACGUAGAAUGAUAAUAAUAUGAAUACUGUAGCUUACUUUAGGCGUAAUUAAUAAUCAAAGAUCGUGACUACGGGUACGGUUCCCGUGACAUAGUCAUGAUACCUAAUUUCCAAAAUCAGGUGUGCAUUUAUGUGACCCAAAUCCAAAUCUCAACAACGUUAGAUAAAAUGUGUCGUGGACCGCGGGUGCAUUUAUGUGACGUGGUUCAAGACGUAUUUUAGAUGGCGUUGAAUCUUCCUAAAAUUAAUUAAAAGCGGCUAAUAAGUUAAAAAAUAUACCAUAGGUUGAAACAUGUUUUAAAAUCAGAUAAUCAGCUAAUUAUGAUACUUUAAGCGAUCGUGCUAGAAUCACGAAAUCCGGGGGUGCCUAACACCUUCCCUCGAGUUAACAGAAUUCCUUAUUCAGAAUUUCUGGUUCGCAGACUUCAAAAGGAAAGUCGAAAUUUCUUCGAUUUGGUAUUUAAAAUAAACCGGUGACUUGGAACACGAAGUAAAAUAUUCCAAGUGGCGACUCUGAAUAAAAUUGAAUAAAUAAUCCCAUUUCGAAUAAUGUCACUUAAAGUGGAAAAACUCCCUUGUACUACCUUAGGGUGUGUAAAAAGGAGGUGUGACAGCAGUCAGCUCUUGUCUUUGGCACAUCCACUCCUUCAACAUUCUUCUUUGUAGUUGCCAGAGGACUAUCAGUGACUAUGUCCCAAAGUUCAUAGUCUUCUCCUAUGAUGUGAUCUCUCAUCCUGUUCUUCCACCAACAAUAGUACUGACCAUUAAAGAGUGGAGGCCUAGUAGUGGAUUGCCCUUUCCAGUUUUCAGGUGAUGCACUCAUUUUGAUCUUUUCCUAAUGUGUUAGCCUCUUCAAGGAUAACCUGCUCUGAUACCUUGAUGUUUUAAGCAUCAAUGCCACACAAGAGGGGGGUGAUUUGUGUGGUACCCAAUUUUCGCUUAACUGAACUAUAGAAGAACCUGGUUCUUUUAGGUGUUCCAACUACUACUGUUUGCGGAAUAAUAAAUACAGAAAAUAAAGAACACAGAGAUUUUUACGUGAAAAACACAUGGCUUAAAAGGUGAAAAAACCACGACCUACUACUCAGUAGGAUUUUCCAAAAAUUCCACCAAAAUCACUGAGCCAAAAAAAUAUUUACAAAAACUCUUUGUAAACCUAAGGAUUAACUCUAAUCCCGUUGUGGCACACAGCCUCAACAGUUGCGACAACUUCAAGUUAGCUAUAACUUGAACACUCUAGGUACCUAAUACAAUUGCUUCUAUGAAAGCUGAAAGGUACAAUUUUAAACCACCUACUACAAUUGAACUAGAAUAAAAGAUAGACACAAUGGAAUAUGUUCUUCUAUCUCGUUCAAGUAGCUUAAGGAUUGCACGCUUGAAUCACACAUAAAUUGUUCACAAAAUCGCCUUGCUCUUUUGCUUUCAAUUUACGUUUAACUUCUGCUUAAGUGCAUUCCUAUAAAAAAGAACAACACUGACAUUUAAUAUUAGUAAUCAGAGUUUGAUUGGGACUCAAUUGCUGCUCUUCUAUCGUGGAAGAGUUCAUGAUGCUCUCAAACUCUAACACUAUCUUCAUCCUAGAUUGUGUUCUCUUCAUAUAAGGAGACUUUCUCCCCUUAUCUAGUAUGCAACAUUUUCGAUCAGAUCAGGAGAUACUGCUGCUUGAUCAGUAGGACUUAUCUCCUUCACGUGCGUCUCACAUGUAUAGGUUGAUCAUAAUUGUGCUUCACCAGAUGCACCUGGUCCAUGACUGAGUUCUUUUGUCAAUCUUCAAAACAUCAAAUGUUCUUGGGCCAACACUGGGUAUCCUGAGGAUCUCUCGGUAUCCUCAAUAUCUCCUAGGGAUCUCUUGGUAUCCCGAGGAUCUCUCGGUAUCCUCAAUAUAUGCUAGGGAUAUCUUGUUAUCCCAAGGAUCUCUUGGUAUCCUCAUGCCAGGGAUCUCUUGGUAUCCCGUACCUCAGUCCAAUCAUAAAUAUGCAUAGGCGAUCUCCCGGGAUGCCGUCCCGUAGUUCCAAAUUAAAACACACAACAACAACCCAAGAAUACCCAAUUAAGCUCAGUGUCGUAUCAAGUAAACAGAUAAUUCUAAUCUAACAUGCUUCACAUAAUUCAAUUAAGGCAAUUUAAGCAAAUAAAUAGUUAAGUCAAUUAGACAUGCUCUUUCUAAGCUAACAACAGGUUCAAAUUGCAAGUAAAAUGAAACAGGAAAAGGAACACAAUUGAAAUUACUUAAAGAAAACUAGAUUUUCAAUAAUUAGCUCAAGUACGCACUCGUCACCUCACGUACAAGGCAUUUCAAAUAUCAGAUAUACCGAAUCCUAAGGGGAAGGUCCCCCACACGAGGUUAGACAAGCCACUUACCUCGAACCGGCUCAAAAUCACUCUGAAACCACGCUUUUGCCACAAGUACUCGACUCCAAAUGACCCAAAUCUAUUCAAUUCAAUUUCAUAAUGUGAAUAACACUUCAAGUAACUGAUUCUACAAUUAAAUUUUAAGCUAAUUAGUGAAAUUAGGUAAAAUGACCAAAACGCCCCUCGUGCCCAUGUCUCGGAAUUGGGUAAAAUUUAUAUUUCUAGAACCCUUACACUCUCACGAGUUCAGUCAUAUCAAGAGUACCAAAAUCGGACCUUAAUAUGUCCCUCAAAUUAUCACUCAAAGGUCUCCAAUUAGACAAGCCCUAACCUCCCAAUUACCACUGAUUUUCCUUAAUUUUUCAUACUUAAAUUGAUAAAAAUCAUUCCAAAAAUGAUUUUGGGGACCAAAGACCUUAUCCCAAUGAACUCCUCUAAAAAUCCCUCUUGAAAAGAGUGCCCCAAGCUUCUUCCUGUUUUGAAAAAGAUGAAAAAUAGCUAAAUUUCGCGAAGACAAGAAUUUAUAUGUUCUGCCCAGCGAUUUCCGCAUAUGCGGUCCCGCUUUUGCGGACCAAAGGCCGCACAUGCGACUUUUCACUUAAUGUCUAGGUUCCACAUCUGUGACUACCAAUCCACAGAUGCGGUACCGCUUCUGUGGAAUCACCACAGCUUCUGCAGUUCCUGAAGAAACUCACAUAUUCCGCUUCUACAGCCGCUGAGCCACUUCUGCGGCGCCGUACCUGCGGAACCCAAACCGCAGGUGCGGUUAUGACAGAACCAACAACUGAGGCUGGAACUCUAACUCCAAACUCUUUUCGUCAACCAUCCAAAUUCAUCCCGAGGCCUCCGGGAUCUCAACCAAAGGCACCAACAAGUCACAAACCACUAUCCAAACUUGUACCAAUCCUUAAAACACCUAAAACAACAUCGAAACCUCGAAUUAACCAUGAAUUUAAGCUUAAGAACUCCAAAUUUCUCAAAAGAUGCUUUCGAUCAAAAUGUCUAUCAAAUCUUGUCCGAAUGACCUGAAAUUUUGCACACAGGUCACAUUCAACACUACAGAGCUACUCCAACUUCCGGAAUUCCAUUCUGACCCUUAGAUCAAAAUCUCACUAUAAGACUGGAAACUUCAAAAAUUCAACUUUCAGCAUUUCAAGCCUAAAUUAGUUACGGACCUCCAAAACACAAUCCAAACAUGCCUCUAAGCCCGAAAUCACCUAAUAGAGCUAACAGAACUAUCAGAUUUCCAUUUCGAGGCAGUCUUCACACUGUUCUGACUACGGUCAACUUUCCAACACUUAAGCUCUCAUUUAGGGACUAAGUGUCCCAAAACUCCCCGAAACUCAAAACCGAACAUCCCGGCAAAUCAAAAUAGCAGAAAUAAACUCGGGGAAAACAGUUAAUAGGGGAUCAGGGUGUAAAUUCUAAGACGACCGACCGGGUCAUCACAAUCUUGCAGUCAGUAUAUGAUGCUAAAUGUUUUCAUUGUAAGAAGAAAGAGCAUUGGAAGAGAAACUGCAGGGAGUAUCUUGCAACUCUAAAGGACAAGAAACAAGGUGAGACAUUAAUGUAAAAUGUUUUCAAGGUUUCUUUAGCUACUACUAAUUCUUCAAUGUGGGUAUUAGAUACUGGCAGUGGUUAUAACAUUUGUAAUAUGUUGCAAAGGUUAAAAAAUAAGUAGGAGGUUAAAGAAAGGAGAAGUUAGUCUACAAGUUGGAAAUGGUGCAAAAGUUGUGGUCGUAGUUGUAUAAUCAAUUUCAUUAAUAAUCCCUACGGGCAAAGUACUUAUGUUGGAUGAUUGUUAUUACGUUCCUAAAUUUGUUUCGAAUAUAAUUUCAGCUUCUAUGUUAGACAAACGUGGUUUUCGCAUUAAUAUAGGCAAUGGUAUUUGCUCUAUAUAUUAUAGUGAUAAUUUAUAUAUGAAUGUAUAUCUCCAACAUGACAUUUAUGUCUUACCUAAUGUGAAUGUUAACUCGAUUAUGCAUGUAUCAAGUCUCAAGAGGAAAAGAGAGGAUCAAGUAAACUAUACAUACCUUUGGCAUUGUAGGCUUGGUCAUAUUGGAGAGAAAAGAAUUAACAAGUUGUACAAGGAAGGGUACCUUGAAAAAUAUAAUUUUGAAUCAUAUUCAACUUGUGAAUCUUGUCUCAAAGGAAAAAUGACCAAAUCUCCAUUUACUGGAAGUGGAGAAAAAGCUUCUGAAUUAUUGAGAAUAAUUCAUACAGAUAUUUAUGGGCUCAUGAAAAUUCAAGCUAGAGGUGUAUAUUCUUACUUCAUGACCUUCACUGAUGAUAUGUCAAGAUAUGUAUUUGUGUAUCUUAUGAAACAUAAAUCUGAAUAUUUUGAAAUGUUCAAAAAGUUCCGUAGUGAAGUUGAGAAACAGACUGGUAAAAGUAUCAAAGUACUAAUGUCUGAUAGAGGUGGAAAAUAUUUUAGUGAAGAUUUUACUGGGUAUAUCAAAGAGAAUGGGAUUCUCUCCCACUAGACACCUCCUGGAACACCACAACACAAUGGUGUGUCUGAAAGGAGAAUUCGAACCUUAUUAGAUAUGGUGAGAUCUAUGAUGGGGUUCACUGAUCUUCCAAUUAAUUUAUAGGAUAUUCUUUGGAAGCAACAACAUAGUUACUUAACAAAAUUCCCAUUAAGCCAGUCUUUAUAACACCAUAUGAGAUAUGGAAAGGACGUAAGCCUAACCUUAAACACAUUAAAGUUUGGGGUUGUCCAGCUUAUGUUAAGAGACUAUAGUCUUAUAAACUUGAAUCAAGAUCUGAUAAGUGUAGUUUCAUUGGGUAUCCCAAGAAAACAAUGGGAUAUUAUUUCUAUCACCCUUCUGACCAUAAAGUGUUUGUGGCCAGAGGAGCAACCUUUUUGGAAAGGGAAUUUCUUUUAGAAGGAAAUGAUAAUGGAGAAAUAGAACUUGAUGAAGUUCAAGAAACUAACGAAUCAACACAUUAUAAAGGUCAUGAGACCCAAGUUGAAGAAUCCUUAUUGGAUGUUUUGAAGUUGCCAAGGAAGUUGCUAUCUUCAACGGUUGAAGUUCAAGAACUAAAUGUAAUUCAAGAACAGGUUAAUGAACUAGUUCCAAACCAAAUUGAACACCAACCAAAUCCAGCACAAAGUUUACAGGUUGUACAAGUACAAAGUUCUAAUUAUGAGAAAUGACAGAAGGCCAUAGAAACCAUGAAGGAAAAUAAAGUAUGGAAUUUAGUUGAACCUUCAAAGGAUAUAAAACCUAUUGGUAGUAAAUGGGGUUUUAAGAAAAAUAUUGGAGCAAACGGAAAGGUGGAGACCUACAAAGCCCGUCAUGUUUCUAAGGGAUAUCGUCAGAAAGAAGGAGUUGAAUAUGACGAUACUUUCUCUCCCGUGGCAAUGCUCAAAUCAAUUCGGAUUUUGCUUGCUAUAGCUGCAUACUAUGAUUAUGAAAUAUGGCAAAUGGAUGUGAAAACAACUUUCCUUAAUGGUGAGCUAGAAGAGGAUGUGUACAUGACACAACCUGAAGGUUUCACAUCUUCGUCUGAUCAUAAUAAAAUUUGCAAGCCGCAAAGAUCCAUUUAUGGACCAAAGCAAGCUUCUCGAAGUUGGAAUAUUCACUUUAACAAAACAAUUGAAAAGUUCAAUUUUGUUAGAUGUGAAGAAGAACCUUGUGUGUACAAAAAGGUUAGUGGGAGCAUAAUUAUAUUCUUAGUGUUGUAUGUUGAUGAUAUAUUGUUCAUAGGGAAUGACAUACCGGCAUUGCAAAGUACCAAGAUUUGGCUAUCUGAAUAGUUCUCCAUGAAAGACUUGGGAGAAGCAACUUAUAUAUUAGGAAUAAAGAUCUAUAGAGAUAGAUGUAAGAAGCUGCUUGAACUUCCCAGUCUUUGUACAUUGAUACCAUCUUAAAGAGGUAUAACAUGGAUAAUUCCAAAAGAGUCUAUCUACCAAUAGGCACUGGAAUUACUCUUAGCAGGGAAGAUUGUCCUAAAACACCUGAAGAGAUAACUUAUGAGUAGGAUCUCAUACGCUAGUGCAGUGGGAGCUAUCAUGUAUACCAUGACAUGUACACGUCCUGGUGUGGCUUAUACACUUGGAGUGACUAGCCGAUAUCAGGCAAUUCCUGGUGAGGAACAUUGGAAGGUGGUGAAGACUAAUCUUAAGUACUUAAGAAGGACUAAAGACCAAUUCCUCAUUUAUGGAGAUUCUAAAUUAAAAAUUGAAGGUUAUACUGUGCAAGUUUCUCUUCAGAUAGAUGAUAGCAACUAUGUUUCUGGUUAUGUAUUCACCUUAAAUGGUGAUGUAGUGAGUUGGAAAUUUUCCAAAGAGGCUAUAAUAGCUGAUUCAGUGACGGAAGCAGAAUAUAUUGUAGCUAGUGAAGCUACUAAGGAAGUUGUAUGGAUGGAAAAGUUCUUAACUGAACUUGGUGUGGUUCCUUCAAUAGAAGGUGCAGUUCCAUUAUUAUGUGACAACACUGGAGCCAUUGCUCAAGCACAGAACCAAGAUCACACCAAAAGUCCAAACAUGUUCUACUGGAAAGGAAAAUAUUGAAAACCAAUUCACUAAAGCUCUUGGCGCAAAUGAGUUUGGCAAGAACAAGUGGAAAUUGGGAAUGAAGUACAUGAGCUAUUGGCUCUAGUGCAAGUGGGAGAUUGUUAGGGAUAUAGUAGAUAUGCCCUAGAUCCAAUAUCAUAUUUGAUGAUUUGAACAUAUUUCUGUGAACAUUAUUUGAUAUAAAAAUAUAUGGUAUUUGAUAUUCUUUUAUCAUAGUUAUUUUUUAAUUGUUUGAUUAACUUGAUAAGGUCUUUGAUUAAAUUUUGAGACUUGACAUUGUGAUGAAGAUCAUGAUAAUGAGAGUGGAGUUUUUUAUAAUUUAAUCUAAAUUUGUUAUUGAUCAUAGGAUUAUUAAUUUGGACAUUAGUAAUCCGGUUAGAUCAAUAUUUAUGUGAUUGUCUUUAUUGGAUAAAGAUUAGUUGAUCUCAUUAACUAAAUCAUAGAUAGAUGAUGCACAUAGUGAUAUGAUCAUUGAACCGACUCAUUGGAAAAUUCCUAAUGGUUAGAAUUACCAUAAACUAUCAAUAGAAUAUUCUCCUGAAGAAUGUGAUAUAAAAGUUUCCUUUGACCUGAUAUCGUCAUAGUAAUUGACAAGUUAUUUAUUGUGUUUUGAUACUAGACACCUAUGGCCCUAGGGCGAUAGUUGAAAGGAUAUUGUGUAUGAUUAAAUACUUGUAGAAUUAGUGAUUGAUCAAGAUGGAAUCUGUCAACUCCUAGUAAUGAGUUUAACUCCAUGUUGUCAUGAAUUCUAAACAACCAAACUAAGACUUUGGCCAGGACAAUUGAAUGAAAGAAGAAUGAGUUUCUUAGGUCAUUCAAUGGUCGAUUAUAUUUGACAUGAACACAUAGUUGGUCACCUAUUUGGAUUUGACAGUUGAACCAUAUCAUAGGGUGACCCAGAGCUAUAAGGACAGAAGGAAUUACUACAUUAUUCUUUUACUGGUUCUUGAGAGUAAAUUGUAUACUUCAUGCUAUCCGGUCGUUAAGGAGUGUUGCUAGACGCCACUCUUGAUUAGUAUAUUGAUGUGAUCAAUUUACUAUCGGCUUAGUAUUGAAACUAUGUGGUCAUAUGCAAACGAGGGUCCUGAUCUUUGCUAAAGGAUUAAUUAACUUAUUAUUUGAUAAUUGAAUUAAAGAAUUUAAUUAGUCAAAUAAAUAAAGUUGUUAGUCCAAAUGAAAUAUUAGUAUACUCUUUGCUAGCACAGAGAUUAUAAUUAAUAUUGUGAACGAAUUGAAGUUUUCUAUUUGGAAUAGAAAAUUAAAUUACAUCUCUUGAUUAAAAUUUAUAUGUGACAUAUAUAUAUAAUAUUAAUGAAAGACUUAUGAAUCAAAUCCAAUUUAGAAUUGGAUUUUCACGUAUAAAGUCCAGAAAGGACUAUGGCAUACGUGUAAUCUCCAUUAGGAAUGAGAUAUACCUUUUCCAUUGUAAAACCAGUAUAGUGUUUAACUUGGAAUUGGACUUAUAAAAGUCAAUACAGUAUCUUCGGUAGUCACGUUAACGUGAUUUAUCAAAUUUUCCAUAAGUUGAUUUUUGGAAUAAACUUUUACCCUAAGUAAAUUAUUACCUCAACCAAAUAGGAAAAUAGUUUGUAUGUGAUGCUAUAUAAUGGGUAAUGGAGAAAAUUUGCCGAACUAUUAAUUCUUGAGAAGAUAAAAUACUUUGUGAAAGUAAGAGUGCAAUACCAAGCCAAAAGAGAAAAUACAAUUACAAGAAAAGUGUUUCUUGUUCUUCUAAUUUGAGUUGAGAUUUUUGAGAAAAAUUUCAGCACAAGUUUUUCCGUUCAAUUUGUUCGCGGGUUUCAUUCAUCAAAGAGUUGAUAGCAAAGAUCGGUCUCGGUGUGGAUACGCAUAGAGUCGUCGCAUCAUCGAAGAAUUUUGAAACGAGACUCUCUUCUCUAGGUACGUCUUAGAUCCGAUCUUUGACAUGUAAAUAAAUUUUAAACACGAAAAAAUCUGCCUAGGAUUGUUAUUGUCUUCCGCUGCAUGUUACGAACACCUAUACGCAUCCUUCAAGAAUAAUGUUCUUGUACCAAAUCAAAAGGUCUAGUAUAAAUUCUUCGAAAACAUCUGUCUUCCUGUCGCAACUAUUAUCAAGUCACCUGCAUUUUAGCUACUACUUUUUAUUGGUAAUUGCAUCAAAUAGGUUAAUAGUGAGCUUGAUAAACUACGCGACCAUGUAGCAUAGACUGGAAAAAGUAUUGCUUCAAUACUGAAUAUCGGCAUAACAUUUAAAGUUCUCAUAUUGAAUUCUUAUAAUUCUUUUAACUUCAAUUUUGGCCUUACCUAAUGUUGUGCUACAACAUUUUCCCGGACAUGCAUCUGGUGAUCAAUAUAAAGUUAUCAGACACCAUUGAUAAUUAAUGGUGUAAGCCAUCUCUUGAGAGUUCCAACCUCAAUCUGAUGAUAUCACUGCUUUCCUAUUUGUAGAUCACUGUUUCUAGUUCUGACAUUGAGAAAAACAGCUGAGAUGGUAUUAGUAACAUUUUGAGUAUCCCUCAUGGAAAAAUUGCUAAGGUGUGAAGCACACAGGUACAAAUUUGCAUCCUUUCUAAUGUGCAUAACUGUUUGGCUUUAUAAAAUGUCAUCUGUUGUUCUAUGCAUCCAUGUUACAAGUAAUACACUUGUUCGUAACUCUCUAUUGACCUUUGAAAUGUUCUGCUGGUAGUAUGGAAAUAAGUGCCCCAAUAUUCUUCCCUCUGGUCACUUUUGUAAGAAACUGCAAAUUCUGUUUGUACGACUCAUGACAAAAUUAGCUCGUAUUGGCCCUCAUAAGUAUUUAUCGUUCCAGGUAUAUAGUGACUUGUUCGUUAUACUUACUUAUAAGCUUUUCUUGUGUAAAUUGCUGAAGCUAUUGUGGAACUUUCUUGGUAUAGUGCCGUCAGUAUAGUGCAUAGUCACGACCGAGCUUGGUAGUUUAUGUUGUUUCUCUAAGUUGACAAACUGGUGACGGCUUGACCAAAAGAUGUCAAAACCUUUAUAAUUAAAUCAACUAAUGAUAAAGAUGAGAUCAAUCUUAGUCAAGCACAAUAAAAUCUAGAUCAAGUGAUGAAAAAAGUAAGCAAGAUAAUGAUGUAAGAAAUAUGUUUGGAAUCAAAUAAAUGCUUAUAAAUGUGAAUGUAUUAGGAAAAAUUAAGUUUGUAUAUGGAAUUCAUUAUAAGAUGACACGUCAUGACACGUGGACCAAUAAAAGAAGAAUAAGUGAUGAAAAAUAAUCAAAGAAGGCACAAGCUUCAACAAGCACGGGUAGAUGUUCAGAGAAAAAGCAAGGAAGAUAUGUACUUGAACCUCUUUAUGAUGGAAGGGAAUGAAUCUGAUAGUAAAUAAGGUAUAGAUACGUACUAUUGGACAUUAAAUACGGAAAACAUUAAGGAAUCUGUAUUGAAUCAAAUAUGAUUGCUGAUUGUAACGUUACAUUAAAUGUCAUUAAAUGCCAUUCAUAGACAAUAAUGACUCAAUUAUGGUAGAAACGAAACAUAUUACCUAGAAAUAGCUAUAAAAGGAGAAGACCGAUCAUUUGUAAGGAUACGAAAUAUCAUCGGAAUAUACUGAUUUACUUUGCUUUCUUCUAUUCAUCUUAUUAUUAUCAAAAUCAAUUUCCUUUAUUCAUUUUAUUUUUAGAUUAUCAGUAACCUGAGUUCUUCUAAAGUACAACUUUGACCGAAAUUCAUAUUUUUGGUUAAACAAAUUGGUUCCGUUACCGGGAAUCUGAUAAUCGUUUACUUUCUUAAUCAAUUCUUUCAUCAAAAAAUUUAACAUGUCGAAUAACAGCGACAACAACAAACAAUAUCCUCAACAUCAGGAGAAUGAUGCGGGUGAUAGGACACCACUUCCCUCACCGCGUGAUUCACAACGUCAUUCACGAGAAGGAACUCCAGAAGGCUCUGAAACAAAUAAUGGGAUUGCAAAUCAAAACGGAUUCGUGGCGAAUCAAAAUGCUGGAGUUGCAAAUGAACAAGCACCCGAUGAUGCCUUAAAAAAUCUCAUUACUCAACAAGUCAGCAAUGCUCUCCGAGCUUUUACCAGCCAAUUGCCAAUUGCACCAACAACACCGACUCCGAAUUAGAAUACUUUGGAAAACCCACGUUUUUGGCUCGUUAACUUAGGCACUAGUGGAACUCCAAGCGAAUUUCGCGAUGGCGAACCAGGUAACAUAGUUAAUUCUGAUUUACAAAAUUUAGUUCUAACCUUGCAGAAGAAGCUCAAGGAGCAAAGCGAUCGCAUAGAGCAAAUACCUGGAGUGCCACCUGUAAUCAAAAGAAUAGACAUGGAUAAGUACUCACAACAAUCAUGGAAGCCUAGUGUUGCUCCGGUGCCGAUACCGAAGAAGUUCAAAAUGCCUUAUAUUCCAAAGUAUGAUGGCACAACUGAUCCACGAGACCACGUGACUACAUUCACAACUGGUGUGAAAGGCAACGAUUUAACCAAACAAGAAAUUGAAUCAGUGUUGGUCUAGAAAUUCGGUGAAACACUCACCAAGGGAGCAUUAACAUGGCAUUCCCUUUUACCCGAAAAUUAUAUAAAUUCUUUUGCUGAGCUUGCAAAUUCUUUUAUCAAAGCGCAUUUGGGAGCUCAAAAAGUUGAAAAAAGAAUGGAAGAUAUUUUCAAAAUCAAGCAAGGAGAUUCAGAGCUGCUUAGAGAGUUCGUGGAUAGGUUCCAGCGUGAAAGAAUGACGUUACCGCGCGUACCUGAUAACUGGGCGGCUAUGGCCUUUGCUAGUAAUUUGAAUGAGAAAAGCUCAGAAGCCACGAGACGACUCAAGAAAAGUCUGCGUGAAUUUCCAGCAACAACCUGGAAUGAUGCUUACAACAGAUACAACACGAAGUUGAGGAUAGAAGAAGACACUAUCUCCCGAUCUCAGAAAGAGGAAAAGGUAAGUUCGAGAAGUUCAGAAACCGAAAAAGGUCCGGUAAAAAUAGAUACGAACCACAUAUGGGCCCGGCAGGAAAAGACUCACGAUCAAAGCAGGAUAAUUCAAGGUACGAUCACAGAUCGAGAAAUAGAGAGUCGGGUUCAUCAUCAAGGUUUGGAAACGAUCGAAACACACGAGAAACCCGAGAUGAUGAUAGAAACUUGAAGGAAAGAUUUGGUGGUUAUAAUUUUAAUGUCAGCACUUCAGAGUUAGUAGCGGUAUUAAGAGGCAUGGGAGAUAAGGUACGGUGGCCAAAAGAAAUGAGAUCGAAUCCAAACAAGCGCAAUCCUAAUCACUGGUGCGAAUUUCACAACGAUCAUAGUCAUAAAACGGCAGAUUGUAGAUUAUUCAAGGGUGAAGUUGACCAUCUAUUAAUGCAAGGGUAUCUCACCUAAUUAUUUAGUGAGAAAGGUAAGCAAGCAUACAUGAAGAACAUGCAGAAGCCCCUUAAACCCCCUUCUCCAAAAAAGACCGUCAAUGUUAUAAGCAGGGGCGAGGAAAUCAAUGGUGUGACGUAUACCGCAGCUAAUAAGGUCUCUAAAGUUACAAUCACCCACAGGAAGCGGAUCCGACAUGUGUUGGAGGAAGAAAGUAUUACAUUUGAUGAUGCAGAUGUGGAUGACGUGUUAACUCCACAUAACGAUGCACUGGUAUAUCUCUACUUGUACAUGAUACUAAUGUGAAACGAGUUUUGAUUGAUCCAGGUAGUUCCAUGAACGUUAUUCUGUUAAGAGUACUAAACGAGAUGCAAGCUGAAAAUAAACUAGUACCAAAGGUACAUACUUUAUCUGGAUUCGACAAUUCAAGCGUUGUGAUGAAAGGGGAGGUAACACUUACUACAUUCGUAGAAGGGGUUGUCAAAGAUACAAAAUUUCAGGUGGAAAUGACUUACAAUAUGAUUCUCGGGAGACCGUGGAUCCACGAGAUGGAUGUUCCGUCUACCUUACAUCAAGUUAUUAAAUUUUCAUUACCAUUAGGAAUAUGUCAAAUCCGGGGGGACCAACAGACAUCCAGGAACAUCAACUCCGUAGCAGAUUCAAAUACGAGAAAUGAAGAAAAAUAGCAGUUACAGAAUCCAGUUGAGGAUACCACAACACAAGCCUCAACUGAACAAGGGCGAAUAGAUGUGGACUCAAGGCCCGAUUCCAUUCAAGAACCAUAGGAAAAUAAAAAUAUCAAUACAACGAUUGAAGAACUAGAGGUUGUAGAGUUAUUUAUGCAAUGGCAUGAAAUGAAAGUCUAUGUUGGGGCCAACCUAAGCCACAACACGAAAGGUAAGUUGAUUGAAUUUUUAAAAACUAACGUGGAUUGUUUUGCCUGGUCCCAUUCUGAUAUGACAGGAAUACCACCGGAAGUAAUGACCCACAAGUUAAAUGAAGACCUAUCAUAUCCACCCGUCAAACAAAAGAAGAGAAAGCAGGGGACUUUCAAAAAUUAGGUGAUUCAAGAUGAGGUUCAAAAACUAUUAAAAAUUGGGUCUAUCCGCGAGGUAAAGUAUCAUAAUUGGUUAGCCAAUACUGUUGUAGUACCGAAAAAGAAUGGUAAAUGGCGAGUUUGUGUAGAUUACAUAGACCUUAACAAAGCUUGUCCUAAAGAUUCUUUUCCAUUACCACAUAUAGAUCAAUUGAUUGAUGAUACUGUAGGGCAUGAGUUGUUAAGCUUUUUAGAUGCAUAUUCAAGUUACAACUAGAUCAAAAUGGAUCCCCUAGAUAAAGAAAGAACUUCAUUUAUAACAGACACGAGGACUUACUGUUAUAAAGUAGUGCAUUUUGGUCUCAAAAAUACUGGUGCAACAUAUCAAAGAUUGGUAACUAAAAUAUUCCAAGAACAUUUAAGGAAAACUAUGGAGGUCUACAUAGAUGAUAUGCUCGUUAAAACUCAACAUUUAGGAGAUCAUAUGUCGCAUUUAUCUGAUACGUUUCAGGUAAAUGUGCAUUCGGCAGAUUAAAGCCAUUGAAGAAAUUCCUGACAUGCUUACAAGUAAAAAAGAAGUGCAGAGAUUGAUAGGAAGAAUUGUAGCCUUGUGGAGAUUUAUUUCCAAGUCAUCAGAAAAAUGUUUUAAACUUUUUUCAGCUCUUAAAAAACAAGAUCGGUUCGAAUGGACUGAGGAGUGUCAACAAGCACUCAAAAACUUGAAGACAUACUUGUCAAAUCCACCGUUGCUUGCAAAACCGAAGGUUGGGAAAAGGUUACUCAUUUAUUUGGAUGUGUCAGAAGUAGCAGUGAGUGCUGUUUUAGUUCGUGAAGACCAAGGUAAACAGUUUCCGAUUUAUUAUGUUAGCAAAUCAUUUUUAGCUGCGGAGUCGCGGUAUCCUCAAUUAGAAAAGCUUGCACUCGCAUUAAUCAUGUCAUCUAGAAAACUAAGGCCUUAUUUUUAAUGCCACCCUAUUUUUGUAGUAACUGCGUAUCCAUUUCACAAUAUAUUACACAAGCAUAAGUUGUCAGGUAGGUUAGCCAAAUGGGCUAUAGAAUUAAGUGAAUAUGACAUCACAUACCAGCCCAGAACCGCUAUAAAAUCUCAGGUGUUAGCAGAUUUUUUGGCUGAUUUCAGUCAAGGAAUGCAGUUAGAAGCAGAAAAAGAAUUAUAGGUGUUCAACGGGUCUAAUCCAGGAAUUUAGACCUUAUUUAUUGAUGGCUCAUCUAAUGUGAAGGGGGACAGGCUUAGGAAUUGUUUUGGUGCCACCUACGAGUGAAACCAUUCGACAAGACUUUAAAUAUCAUUCUAUAACUAAUACUGAGGCAAAAUAUGAAGUUGUGAUUGCAGGUUUAGAACUGGCACGUGAACUCGGCAUUAAUCAGAUUGUAAUCAAAAGUGAUUCGCAGCUUGUAGUUAACCUAAUGUUGGGGACUUAUACAGCCAGAGAGGCACGAAUGCAGUAGUACUUAGAGAAGGUACGGGAUUUAAUUAGGGAAUUUCAAACCUGCAAAGUCACGCAGAUACCAAGAGAUGAAAAUGUCGAGGCAGAUGCCCAAGCUAAUCUCGCAUCUGCGGCAGACGUGGAAAGUAAUGAAAAUGCCUCCGUAAUUCAUUUGUUUCACUCAGUACUCGAUCCAGACAAAAAUGAGGUAAAUUUCAAUAACAUAACCUGGGAUUGGAGGAACGAGUUUGUUGCUUUAUUGCAGUAUGGUACCGUCCCUGAAGACAAGAAAAAAGCUCACGCACUUCGAAAAAGGCUGCUCGAUAUUGUUUAAAGUAAGGCAAUCUUUAUCGAAAGAUGUUCGGUGGUCCCUUAGCAAGAUGCCUCGGGCCUUCUCAAAUAGAAUAUGUAAUGAGAGAGAUACACGAGGGGCAUUGUGGAAAUCACGCAGGAGGGAGAUCACUGGUAAGAACCAUGAUUAGAGCAGGUUAUUAUUGGCCUAAAAUGGAAGACGAAGCGGAGAAUUUCGUGGCUAAAUAUGAUAAAUGGCAAAGAUACUAUAAUAACAUGCAUAGACCUGCAGAGUUGCUACAUCCGGUCAUUGCACUGUGGCCUUUUAUAAAAUGAGGGAUGGAUAUCGUGGGUCCACUACCACUAGCAAAAGGACAGGUAAAAUUCUUGCUUGUACUCACUGACUACUUCACUAAAUGGGUAGAAGCAGGAGCAUUUAAGCAGGUGCGAGAUAAAGAAGUCAGAGAUUUCAUUUGGAGAAAUAUCAUAUGUCGAUUCGGGGUACCAAAUGAAAUCGUGUGUGAUAAUGGCCCCCAAUUCGCCUAGGCGCACAAAUCACAGAAUUUUUUCAAAGUUGGCAGAUCAAGAGGAUUACAUCCACGCCUUAUCAUCCGGUGGGUAAUGGACAAGCAAAAUCAACAAAUAAAGUCAUUGUCAACAAUUUGAAGAAACGAUUGGAAGAAUCUAAAGGUAAUUGGCCAGAAUUGUUACCUGGUAUUUUAUGGGCGUACCACACAACAACAAAAACAAGCACAGGCGAAACACCGUUCUCAUUGGUAUAUGGAGCUGAAGCUUUAAUUCCAACUGAAAUAGGGGAGCCAAGCACGAGAUACACGCAAGUGUUAGAAGAAUCCAAUGAAGAGGAAAUGCGCAUAAACCUUGAUUUACUUGAAAGAAAAAGGGAAGGUGCACUAAUAAGAUUAACAACACAAAAGCAAGUCAUGGAACGAUACUACAAUCUAAGAGCACGACUAAGAUACUUCAAGAUUGGGGACUUCGUACUCAAGAAAGUUUUUCAAUCCACGAAGGCAGCGAAUGCUGGUAAAUUAAGUCCAACCUGGGAAGGACUGAGCAUAUGAGAUGGAAACAAUGGAUGUCAAGAUAUUACCUUCACAUUGGAAUGUCGUUCACCUGAAGAGAUACUAUUAUCUCUUCAGGAGUACACACAGUCAGGUACCCUCAUUUUAAAAUUCUAUUUUUGAAUUGUUAAAAUUUUACUAAUGAUUUUAGAUGAUAGGCAAAAAGCUAGCCAGUACUAAAUAAUGAAUCACGACCUGCAAGGCAUGUGCAAUAAAUUAAAAUCCCAAUCUAGGGUUACACCUAUUCUGAUAGAAAUUGAUACGGGUUAAGCAGUCUUCAUCUAUAAUUGUACCUUCGAGUCCCGUGUGUUUUAUUCCUUUAUAAGAAGAGGACCAAACAAGAGGAGUAAUCAAGUGCUCGAGACUUCAUACUUCAAAGCUCAAACACUUGGGGGACUAUAAAAUAUACAUAGACAUGUGUAUAAAGAAGGCAAAGAAGAUUGGGAAAUAAUCAAAGUUCAAGCCUGAAAAGUUUACUCAUUGAAUGAGUCAAGUGCAGAGCAAAAGCCAAUGAAAGUCAAAGAAAGUCACGAGCUAAGGCCAAUGCAAAACCUUAUCUUAGCUAGGUUGAAGGCAAUAGACUGAAACGGGUUAUAAAUAGAAACCUUGUGUUUUACUGAAAUGGGUUAUAAAUAGAAACUUUGUGUUUUUUAAAUUUUUUGAAAUCUGUUAUAAGGAAAACAGUUACGAAAAAGUUAUAGAAGUUAUUUAAAUACAUGUAAAGUGUUAUUUAAAACUUGGCAAAGUUCAAAUAAAAACUUGUCAAAGUUAUUUCAAGAAACAUAUGUAUUCCUAUUUCUUUUGUCGUAUAUUAACACCAUUAUGAAGUUGAGACAUCUUCUUCAUUAAGUGUCGAAUAUAAAGGCUCUCUUAAGUGAGAAAGAAAUAUAUGCCGGUGAACUCAUGCAGACUCUGAUCCAAACUCAAGAAGACCUCCGGGAAUCUUCUGAUAAAGUUCAUUCCUUGGAAAGUUCACAUGCUUCUCUUCAAACCUCUUAUGAUUCUGCCUUGUCUGAGAAUGAGAAGCUUAAAAAUGAAAUUGCUGACUGGGAAAGAGAUUAUGAGAUUCUUUAAGACAAAACCACAAUUAAAGUGAGUUGGGCGUUUCUGAAUACUCGCCAUGAUACCCUUGUGGAAGUUAGUCAGGAGAAUUUUAACUUGGAAGCUAAGUUAGCCAAAAUAAAAGAGACUAUUGAAAAGAUUCAGUAGAGCCAAGACUUUCCUUCUCCCGUGGCUGAAGCUUCUGAAAUGUUGAAGAUUAUAUGAGUAUUCCAAUUCCUUCAAGUCAAGUUGAGCCUGCUGUUGCCGAUGACCCUGCUUUGGUUCCUUCUUCAACUCCUUAGUGACAAGUUAAUGAAGUGUGACUCUUUUUUUCUUUUUCCUUUGGUGGAAUAUGGUUACAACCCUAACCUGCUGCUCUAAGGUACAUUUGCUUUCUCCUAAUAUUUCCAUGUCGAUUUGAAGAUUUUCAUACUAUUCCUUCCAAUUGUCGGCUUCCACUUGGUAAUCAUGCAUUAAUUGCUCUGAGAGGGAAACCCUCUUCAUCAUCUCCGUACCAAUUAGAUUGAUCUAAAGAAAGAGGAAAGAAAAAGUGAGAACCCUAAAAAUAGAAAAAAGGCAAACAAAAGUUUGAAAAAGGUUACCUUUAAAGAAGAUUGUACUAUAUCUUUCAUCAAGGUCAAAGAACUGUGGCUAUCAAGCUUAGCUCUCUUAACUGGAAUAAUCAAAGGUUUCAACCAUAUGUUAGCUCGACCUGAUUUUCUCAAAAGGUUACCCUCAGCAGGAAUUUCGAUGGUAACUUGCCUCAUAGCUUCACCUCUGCUCGAGGAACCAACCUCAGUGUAAAAGACAGUUGAAGAAGGAACAGUUGAAGGAGGAACUGUAGAAGGAUUAGAAACAGCCUGGGGAGUCGAAACAACCUGAACGGGUAACAGUCACGACUGGCAAAGAGGGUAUCAAAUGAACGGGUGUAGAAAAAGAAUCAAGGGGUGAUUCAUAAGAAGGUGAUUCAUAAGAAAUUGGCUCUAAACUUUCACUACCAAACCCGCGGGCAAAAAGAUGUUCAACAGAAUCAUGAGCAGCAGCAGGAGUAUCAUCAUCAGAAAUCACCAACGAGUCUUCAACAGGCUCAGUGGAAGGAAUAGAAUGAGGGCGGGAUGCUUCAUCAUCUGAAAUAAUUCUUCUUCUAGCCCUUGGCCUUUUUAUCAGAGAACCCCCCGUCUUGUUCUUCUUCCUCCCUAGAGUCUUGGUCGACAAUAACCUUCCUUUUUGAUGAAGAACCCAAAAUUAUCUCUUGGGCCCUAUCGAAAGAAAUUCUGGAAGCAACGAUGACCUUAGCACUUAUGCCUCUAAUGGGAAAUCCUAACAAAAAGAAGGAUCAAAAUAAUUUUUGAAGAAAACAAUAAGUAAGGUAGGAAAAGAAAAAAAUAGCUCUUACCGUGAGUUUUCACUUUCCAGUCAAAUCGAUGAGAGAGAUUUUUCCAUGACCUACCGUCCAUCGGAGCGGUACGUAAUAACUUUCUACCGAACCACAUAAAUUGGGAAUCUCAUCGAUAAUUCCCAUGGUUGCUAAAAAGAAAAGGAAGGAAAUUAAAAUGGCGAUCAUCAGAAUUUAAAAAAAGGUACGAGAAAGUUAUAAAAAAACUCACGUGCAAAAUUCCUUUUUUCGGGAAAGGGAACAUUUCCAUCACCCACUAAACUAAUAGUGAGGGCAGCAACGAAUCUGGCGUACCGGCCACGAUCUUUAUCAUCUUCUAGGUUAACCAGAACUCUUUUACUUCUUGCUACUAAAGUAAAGAUUCCUUGGCGAAAGAGCUUGGGAGAAUAUAUGUGGAUUAAAUGAGAGAAAGUAAGAGGCACGCCAGCCAUGAUGGUCAAGUGCCUCAAACAGGCAACAACCCUCCACACAAUAGGUCCAAUUUGUCCUAAGCAAACGUCGAAAAAACGACAGAAUUCAAGUAUAACAGGGUCAAUAGCAGGCUUAAAACCCAACGUUAAAGGGUAAGUGUAAACAAAAGAAAACCCAAUUAAGUAAGAGGUGAUUCUUUGGUUCGCAUUAAGGAUUAUAAUGGGAAAGUCAUGGCUCCAAUGACAAUCUCUACGAACUAUUGAAAUCAGACCUUCAGUGAUUUGAGUUGGGUAGAUAUCAGCACGAUCUAAUGAAGAUAAUUGAUUUCUAAGGGAUUCUCUAUCAUUGUAGAAAGAUAGUUCCGCAGGAACUAUUUCAUCCACUAAAGGUUCACAAAGAGGUUCAAUGGGUUCUUUACCUCUAGAUGAAGACCUUUGAGAAAGAGAACCUCUGGUUCUAGAUGGAGGAGCAGAACUAGAUGAAGGAACAGAGGGAAUUCGUGAUGAAGAAGACCCUAAACUACGAAGCUUUCCUCCUCUCCUACUUCUAAUAUGAGCAAGCGAAAGGUUGUCAAUAAUGGGGACUCUCCGAGGGUUAGGGUUUGAAGAAGACAUAGUAGUACGAGGAAGAAGAAACUAUGAAUUGAAUAUUUGUGAAAAAGACAAAGUUAAAAAGUUAUAUUUAUAAUCAAAAGCAACCGUCAAAUAAAAAGGCACAAUGAUGGAAACAUCAUAAUGAGAACUGUUGACUCGCAAUUGGUAAAGACAUAAAAAAGUAUUAAAAGGCGCUGAAAAGUUGCAGAGCCAACCAGGAAAUGCCACAUGUCAUGGACAUUAAAUGGAUGAGACAGAUGAAGCAUCAGUUCCAGAGAAGAAUUAAUGACGGCAAUUAUUCUCGCUUUAAUGAGGUCCACUUCCCAAAUAUUCUAUUGUUGAAUAAAUGGCAAGUGGGGAGACUAUCUGUAUUGGGAAAAAUUAAGUUUAUAUAUGGAAUUCAUUAUAAGAUGACAUGUCAUAGCACAUGGACCAGUCAAAGAAGAAUAAGUGAUGAAAAAUAAUCAAAGAAGGCCCGAGCUUCAACAGGCAGGGGUAGAUGUUCAGAGAAAAAACAAGGAACAUAGGUACUUGAACCUCUUUAUGAUAGAAGGGAAUGAAUCUGAUAGUAAAUAAGGUAUAGUUACGUACUAUUGGACAUUAAAUACGGAAAACGUUAAGGAAUCUGUAUUUAAUCAAAUAUGAUUGAUGAUUGUAACGUUAAAUUAAAUGCCAUUCAUAGAUAAUAAUGGCUCAAUUAUGGUAGAAAUGAAACGUAUUACCUAGAAAUAGCUAUAAAAGAAGAAGGCUAAUCAUUUGUAAGGAUACGAAAUAUCAUCGGAAUAUACUGAUUUACUUUGCUUUCUUCUGUUCAUCUUAUUAUUAUCAAAAUCAUUUUCCUUUAUUCAUUAUAUUUUUUGAUUAUCAGUAACCCGAGUUCUUCUAAAGUACAGCUUUGACCGAAAUUUAUAUUUUUGGUUAAACAGUGAAGACUUAAAUGCACAAUCAGUCUUAAAAGAUGCCAUUGGCGUUGAGAGGGG
rnacentral:lncRNA from 1 species